rnacentral:rRNA from 1 species
UACGGAGGAUGCGAGCGUUAUCCGGAAUCAUUGGGUUUAAAGGGUCCGUAGGCGGUUUAAUAAGUCAGUGGUGAAAUCUGGUCGCUCAACGAUCAAACUGCCAUUGAUACUGUUAGACUUGAAUUAUUGUGAAGUAACUAGAAUAUGUAGUGUAGCGGUGAAAUGCUUAGAUAUUACAUGGAAUACCAAUUGCGAAGGCAGGUUACUAACAAUUGAUUGACGCUGAUGGACGAAAGCGUGGGGAGCGAACAGG